CUGAGAGAUUUAGGACGGUGCCGGGGAGCCGGGCAAUCGGGGAGCUGUCUCGACUCUCGAGUCAAACGCAAGUCGCGAUAGCUGUGUUCGGAUGCAUUCGCACGCAAACAGAUGAAUUUGGACGUCUGAGCAUCCCGGCAAGGAGUACGAGCAUUUACGCCGGAGACAUUAUCGGUGUUUAUCAAGACGUCGCGUCUUGCUGACGACUGGGGUCCUAUCUAUAAUGUUCGCUGUAUUCAUUUUUCAAGAUCAAAAGUGGCGGUCUAUCUGGUUUCUAUGGGAACGAACAUGGAUUGCGCGAAAGUAAACUUGGCCAAGGGCGGUUAUGUAAUCAUUCUCUCGUAUUGAUUGUGUGUGUAAAAAGAUAGGAAUAGGUAUUGGUUGUUAACGUUUGUAUAUCUUAACAUUAUUUUCUUUUUAUUUAACGUAUUUUUUUUAUAAAAUGAAUAUUUUUAAGCCAGUAAUAAGUACUAUUAAUAAUAUUCGAAUUAGUCCUGCGUUUGCCCGCAGCUUUUGUGGUUGUUACGUAAUCAAACGCACGAUGUCUUCAAUGCAAUGAUAAAAUGUAAAUAGUGAGAUUUUUUAUCUGUAUUCUAUGUAGAAUGAUCUAGGAUAAUUUUAUAACGAUAAAUAAUUACUUAUAUAUAGAAUGUAUUGCAUUCAGCUUUAUGUUUCUACUAGGUGAAUUAAAAACCGUCCCCCAUAAUGUGCUUCCUAUUAUCCUAUUAUUUUCUAAAAAAAUUAAUUAAAUACUUGCUAUAAUAUAACUUGCUGUUUUAGAGGUUAAUCUUGGAGCUGUCCCGAUGUUUGU